AUUCAUUAGUUCCUCAAGUUUCGCAAUCUGCAGUAAUUUGUCACACUUCAUCAUCAUCAUCAUCAUCAUCAAUCUGUUGCUGAGUCCUAUGAUUCUAUCUUUAGAACAUCUUAAAUUGAUGAAUAUUAAGCGGAAGGCCAGCCCAGGUCUCCCGAAUGUGGGCUACAGGAGACACAGCUGCUGCCAAGGCCUUCCACCUACAGUUUC
rnacentral:lncRNA from 1 species